UACGUAGGGGGCAAGCGUUGUCCGGAAUCAUUGGGCGUAAAGCGCGUGUAGGCGGUCCGGUAAGUCCGCUGUGAAAGUCGGGGGCUCAACCCUUGAAUGCCGGUGGAUACUGCAGGGCUAGAGUCCGGAAGAGGCGAGUGGAAUUCCUGGUGUAGCGGUGAAAUGCGCAGAUAUCAGGAGGAACACCGAUGGCGAAGGCAGCUCGCUGGGACGGUACUGACGCUGAGGCGCGAAAGCGUGGGGAGCAAACAGG
rnacentral:rRNA from 1 species